UGCUAGCAAGCAGCAAAGUUUGAAUAACCUAAAAACCAUAAAAAGUAAACAAUUUUUAACACUGACUUGUAGAUAAAUUUAUGUGUCAAAACUGUUACGAUAAAAAACAUCAAAUCAAAAUCAAAUAAAACAAACUUUUCGGCCAGCCAGAGGAAAAAUCGAAUAAAAUCAAGCAUGACCUAUUACUGUCACGUCCGGUGCGAGCCAGGGAAGAGCAAACAACUUUCGGGUCACGUUUGACAUUUGGCCAGACGAAAUGGAUAGAAACCAAACUCGGAACUCUGAGUUGGAUCCACAGCCGUAGACACGCUGGCUAGAGCUAUAUACUUGCAACGAACCACAGCAACCACACGUUACAAGCUCGCAGCAAUUAAUUAAAAAGUUUUAACGCGCCCAAAUCAAAUCAACAAUUUUCGCAGCUCAUACCCAAACAAUCUGUCGAAGAAGAGCUCAACAUAUAGAUGAAUAUGUCUUCGACUGUUCUUUCUUGUUUUUGGUAACUGGCUUGUUAAGAAACCUUUUCCACCAGCCGCUGCGUGAAAACCGAAAGAAAGAAUCAACAAAAAAACUAAACACAAAAAAAAAAAACAAAAGCCAAGUCUGCCUUUCAGCGGCAGUCAGGACACGCCUUUGGCUAAUUGUGUACGUGCAUGUAUGUCAGAGAAUGUGUGCAUGUACAUGUGCUUGUGUACUUGUUUGUGUGUGUGUGUGUGUGUUUGGCUGUAUGUCAUAAUCAAAUGAAUGCCCAGCAAUAAUUUAACACGCAAGUCCUGUUGCGACUAAUGGCUAUGACUAGUAAUCGGACCUUAAAGAGAGAAAAAACUGCGACUACUGCAGUUGUUAAUUACCCGCUAGGCGCAUUAUGUGGGGCCACAGGCAUGUUGCUCCAUAAACUGGGACACCUUCAAGAUUAGCGAGCCCUUGAACGCGGUCGCCAAAAGAAGCUAGUGGCAAAAGUAUACGAAAUAGGGAGAGAGGGGUCCAUAAUGAGUCAGACAUGAUUAAAUGGUAGAUUCAUGAUUCAUUCAUAAUUAAAACGUAUUUCGGUCUGAAGCAAGAAACUAACUAAUGCGACAGGAAGCAAGUAUGAGUCCCGUACUGGAGAGUGCCCGACGAGCAGAUAUCCAGUGUUUAGUUCUUAUUGCGAGUGUUCGAGAUUCUCUGAGCUUAUGCGUGGCAUCCAAAUGUGUUUAUAACUGAGAAAGCAAGUCGUCAGUUUGUGUGUGGAGCAGGAUGUGGGGUAGAGUAAAAAUGGAAAGUCAUUCUGCGUACAAAUCAAAUAAUUUACAACUGCAUUUCUUAUGUGCACAGAGUAUAAAAAGUCUCACUUAAACCCGGCUGGCUGGAAAGUU